UAAGCACGGAAAAUGAGACUUUUUUUUUCUUCAUUUUGGUUUUUCAAGACAGGGUUUCUCUGUGUAUCCCUGGCUGUCCUGGAACUCACUCUGUAGACCAGGCUGGCCUUGAACUCAGACCCACCUGCCUCUGUCUCAGUGGGGAGCACUAAGCAUGGGGCUCCAUGCCGAGGAGGAGCUGAGGGAGACCGCUGCAUCUGAACCUGCCCCCUCGGUCCCCGACUCCGCCCGAGGUGGCCAGGGGGACUGCCCGUCCUCAUCCAGUCUGGAGGCUGUGCCCUGUGGGAAGGAUGCGAUGUGUGAGGAAAGGAGCAGCAGCACCGGAAGUGCAAGGCCAUCCCUGGCUGAGCCCUCUCCCCCAGGACUGCAGCCCUUGUCACCGCCACCUGUGGAGGACAUCUGCUCGGAUGACUCAGAUGACAUUAUCUUUUCACCAUUUCUGCCCAGGAAGAAAAGCCCCUCCCCAUUCUAGGACCCCAAUCGUUGCCUCCAGGUGAGGUGGCCGUGGGGACAAGUUAGAGGACUCUGAAUUUGAGAAGAUGACUAUCUCGCUAGGGAAAGAGCCCUGCCUCAGGAACACCUCAGCCAUCGAUUUUCUCACGUGUCAUGCCUGUGCCUUUGAGGGACCCUGGUGGCUCUGUGUUCUCUGGGGACAGAGGGAAGGAGGGAGGGGGGUCCACCUCCCACUUCCGUUUCUAGUUUCAGCCCAUGUGUUUCCAGUGCCCACAGAUAACGUUCACCCCAAGUCAGGGCAGCAGGGAGUCCUGCAAAGACAGGAACUCUUGCAAAGUCUACUACUUGCCCUUAACCUUGGCACUGCCAGCUGCCAUGUAGGCCUAGCCCUCCUGGUCCACUGCUGCCUGGUGCCUUAACAGGUGCUACAGCUAAGUCUUCCGUGCCCACAUGGAAUGCAGUCAUACAAGAGCCAGCAAGAAGCUGUGGACAUCAGGGUCCCCAACUGAGUCCCUGUCCCAUGGGCUCCUUGUUCCUCCUGUUCUUAUCCCCCACCAUCUCCACACACCCCACCUCCCCCCCAGGAGGAUGAACUCUGGGAAGAGUCCCAAGCAGCAUCGACACAGAGUUGAGUGACACGGCUGCUAUGGUAAAGCAGCCGGAGGAUGGCUUAGGUCACCCAGACCCAAGGCAGAGAGCAGGGCCAGGAGGCAGCCCGUUGUCGUCCCAGAGGACAUAGGUCUCAGGGAAGGACAAAUUCCAGUAUGGCCCUGUCAGUGGGUGUGCAGAGGUGCCUGUAGGCCACCGGUGCCAUCUGGCCCAUUCAGCAUCCAGCAGCUUGAGGUGUUGGUCCCUUGUCUGUGAAAUUAGCUCCUGUCAGUGGGUGAGGAUGAGGAACUUUGGGCUUGCACAGGGUUUUAGGAGUAUCUAAGCUCCGUGCAGCUUAGGCCUGCUGCCCAGGUGUCCCCUCUAGAGUGCCUGUCGGACUGGCUGCUGGGGGUCUCCACAGGUCACUGGAGAUGGAACUUCCUGGUCCCAUAGACUAACUGGCUUUUGUCUCAGGAAAACCUAAUGUUAUAAGGUUCCUUCUUGGAUGAGGCCAGUGGAGACACCCAAGAGGUUUGCUUUUAGGGACCAUUUAAUUCCUGGCAUCUUCCUCA
rnacentral:lncRNA from 1 species